GGAGAGGUGGCCGAGUGGUUGAAGGCAACGGUCUUGAAAACCGUCGAGGGUUUACGCUCUCCGUGGGUUCGAAUCCCACCCUCUCCG
rnacentral:tRNA from 1 species